UUAUGUUCCUUAGAAUUCCAGCAGCCAUCGGUCACCAAUUCCUUCAAAGAAACCGGAAAUACAAAUGAUUGUUCCUUUUUAAACGAUCUGGAUAAGAAAUUGCAAAAUUUUCUCCGUUUAAGGAAUCGUUGCACAGGUUUCGCGGAAUGGCAUCGGUGAACGAGUUCCGUUGCACAACGAUCGGGAGAAACAGACGAGUCCUCGAGACGUGUUUUUCUUCUGGCUAAGGCCACCUGUGCAGGGCCCCCAGCCUUCUACUUUACUUUCUUCACGGUUCCGUUAAAUACCCGACACACCGAUCGCAAAUCCAGGUGCGGAGGUCAACUUGAGCCAGGUUAGGGUUUCGUACGUUUCUCCCCGCUAUCCGUGCCUCUGUCACGCAUGCAUGCGUACUUGAACACAGGUGCUUUUAACAUCGGGUCACUUUUUUCUCUGAUAAGACGGGACAAAUAUUAUUUACGUGACAAGGCGUUGGUGUUGCAGCAAAACCAAAAAUAAUUCCAUGUUUUAUGUAUGAAAUUUUGAAUAUUUUAUUAUGAGAUUAUAAUGCUUCAUUAUACAUGAAGCAAUUUUUUUUAUUAAUGAAAUAUCACUUUCAGCAAAAUGAGAAAUCAAUA